rnacentral:tRNA from 22 species
GCGCCCGUAGCUCAGCUGGAUAGAGUACCUGGCUACGAACCAGGCGGUCAGAGGUUCGAAUCCUCUCGGGCGCGCCA